CCUACGGGUGGCAGCAGUGAGGAAUAUUGGUCAAUGGACGAGAGUCUGAACCAGCCAAGUAGCGUGAAGGAUGACUGCCCUAUGGGUUGUAAACUUCUUUUAUAUGGGAAUAAAAUGUUCCACGUGUGGCUUUUUGUAUGUACUUUAUGAAUAAGGAUCGGCUAACUCCGUGCCAGCAGCCGCGGUAAUACGGAGGAUCCGAGCGUUAUCCGGAUUUAUUGGGUUUAAAGGGAGCGUAGGUGGAUUGUUAAGUCAGUUGUGAAAGUUUUCGGCUCAACCGUAAAAUUGCAGUUGAUACUGGCAGUCUUGAGUACAGUAGAGGUUGGCGGAAUUCGGGGUGUAGCGGUGAAAUGCUUAGAUAUCACGAAGAACUCCGAUUGCGAAGGCAGCUCACUGGACUGCAACUGACACUGAGGCUCGAAAGUGUGGGUAGCAAACAGGAUUAGAUACCCGAGUAGUC
rnacentral:rRNA from 1 species